AACAAAUUAAUUUAAUAGAAUCUAUUUGUUACAUAAAUAGAUAAUACUAAAUUGUGU
rnacentral:tRNA from 1 species